UUAAAAUCUUUUUCCAUUUGCUUAUUUUGUGAUUAAAUGUGACGAUUUUCCUGGUUCCACAGACCAGCCUGGCUGCGUGUGACCAUGAGACAGACUUGUAGCUCCUGAGAAGAUGGAAAUAGGAGAGUUCAGGGAACGAGCACGGUAGACGUGAUUGCUCUGGUCACUGUCUGAACCUGUGGAGGAGACCAUCAGUCUUCCCCGGAGACCAGAGCACAGGAGACCUCACACUAUGGCUGCUUCUCCAUUUGAUUCCAUCUACUAGAUGGGAUGAUGCAUAGCUAUUUCAGUAUUUUGAGGUCCUAUAUGCAGCUUCUAUCUUCACCUUUAUCAGGGAAUUGCCUAUAGCAUCACCUGGCACUGCUAACUUAGAUCAAGAAAUUGCGAUCCAGAGAAGGGAAGUGGCUUUGCCCCCAGCUACAGAAGUGGUAAAGGACCAACUGUCAAUGAAGACUUGAAUUUCCUCCUUCCCUCCCUCCUUCCUUUUCUCCCUCCCUCCCUCUCUUUCUUUCUUUCUUUCUUUCUUUCUUUCUUUCUUUUCUUUCUUUCUUUCUUUCUUUCCUUUCUUUCUUUUAGAGAGAGAGAGAGAGAGCGCACAAGCAGGGGGAGGGGCAGAGGGAGAGGGAGAAGUAGACUCCCCCCACUGAGCAGGGAGCCUGACACAGGGCUCAAUCCCAGGAUCCUGGGACCAUGACCUGAGCCAAAGGCAGAUGUUUAAUUGACUGAGCAACCCAGGCGUCUCUCCUUCAUUUCUUUAAAGCCUCGUCCUUAAAAGUCAC
rnacentral:lncRNA from 1 species